UAACCAACUGAACCACCCAGGCGCCCCACCAAACAAGUUUUUUUUUUUAAUCUGAGAAAGGAAGGAAGGAAGAAAGGAGGAGUUUUAGCAGAAUUAGUUGGGUGGUAGAGGCCUCUCGAAAGCACCUUGCCUCUCACAGGUAGCAGAGAAGGAAGAACAAGAAACUGGAGGGGAGACUUUCCUGCUCACAUUUCCUGCACGAAGAAACUCCCUCUUAAAGUGAGUUGGUACAACCCAUCUGCAGGGUAUAUUUGUCUUAUCCAUCCAUUUGGAUCCCAUUCUUGUUGCAGAAAUUAUCCUUGAGAGGCAAUGGAACAAAUGUGCAAAGAUGAAUAUGUUGGGAUGCACAUUAGUGACAAGCGAGACAAUUAAAGACAACGUAACGUCUGUCAAGGCAAGACAUUAUUUAAUGUGCGGUAAAUGUAUCAUGCUAUACCCCCACGUAUCACAAUGAACUGCCAUUCAAAUGGUGAUCCAUAUUCCUUGCCUGGAAAGAUAACGAGACGUGCUAUUUAAUGAGUGUUGACCGUGUGGCAGGUGUUUUACAUAUAUGGUGUUACUCAAUGCUCAUAACCAAGUUUAAGGGAUGAUAAUCCUCAUUUCACCGAUGAGGAAAAUGGCCUGAGGUUAAGUAGGACCAAAUCACAGAUUCAGGAAGCAGUCGGUUAAGAUUUAAACUUUACAGCCCACUGUCGAAACAUCUUUGCCCAUAGCCCUUUUUUUUUUCUUUUUUAAUUUUCGAGACAGAGAGAGAGAGCACAAGCCGGGGAGAGGGGCAGAAGAAGUGAGAGAGAAUCUUAAGCAGGCUCCAUGCUCAGCGAGGAACCAGAUCCACAGCCCUGGGAUGAUGAGCUGCGCUGAAAUCGAGAGUCGGAUGCUCGACCAAGUGAGCCACCCAGGUGCCUCUCACAGCACCUUUUUGGAUGAAAUGAUUAAGGCACAGGAACCCAAAGUAUACCCGCACUGCUCUGCAUCACCCUAGGCCGCUAGCUUCACGAGGACAUGUACCACCCCUGCUUUAGUCCGUCAUUAUGAUGCCAGCACCUGUCACGAUGCCUGACAUGAGAGAGUUCACGGGUGAAUGGGGGAAGAGCGGAGAGAGAAGGAGAAAGAGAAUCCCAAGCAGACUCCGCACUCAGCUCAGAGCCCGACAUGGGGCUUGAUCUCACGACCAUGAGGUCAUGACCUGAGCUGAAAUCAAGAGUUGGAUGCUUAACCGACUAAGCCACCCGGGCUUGGUUCAUCUUGGAACCCCUCACAGUGCCUUGCAUAUAGUAGGGGGUGCUCAAUAAACGUUGCAUGAAAAUAUAAACAAUGGUUUAUCUUUUUCCUCCUGGGAUCAUUUCUGCAGACUUUCCAGUAACAUGUAAACGCAUGCCUGGUGGCAGGUCAUGUGCAAGAACUGUAAUAAUGGCCAUGGCAACAGGAAGCUGUGCCAGUUGGGGUUAGGUUUGUUGUAAAGUAACAGAAAAAAAAAAAAACAACAAAGAAUGAUUUUUUUAAAUGAAAAGUUCAUUUCUUUCUAAUGUUUAAGAGAUCUAGAGGCAGGCAGCCCAGAGUUAGAAGAGAGUUCUGUGGUGUUAGGGACCCAGCUUUAUUCUCUUUUUUGCUCUGCCACAAUGGCUUCCAUUCCCAAAGUCAACUCAUGGUCCAAAAUGGCUCCUGGAGCUCCAGUCAUUUCAUCAGAAUUCCAGCAAGA